AGAGUUUGAUCAUGGCUCAGGAUGAACGCUAGCGACGUGCCUAAGAAAUGCAAGUCGAGCGAUGAUGGUUACUUCGGUAACCUGAUUAGCGGCGAACGGUCGCGUAACACGUAAGCAAUCUGCCCUAAAGUUUGGGAUAGCCCGGCGAAAGUCGGAUUAAUACCGGAUGUGGAUAUUUUAACACCUGUUGAUUUAUCUAAAGUGGAAACACGCUUUAGGAUGAGCUUGCGGCCUAUCAGCUUGAUGGUGGGGUAAUGGCCUACCAUGGCGACGACGGGUAGCUGGUCUGAGAGGAUGAUCAGCCGGACUGGGACUGAGAUACGGCCCAGACUCCUACGGGGGGCAGCAAUUAGGAAUCUUGCGCAAUGGGCGAAAGCCUGACGCAGCGACGUCGCGUGACCGAUGAAGUCUUUCGGGAUGUAAAGGUCUUUUGUCGAGGAAGAGUAAAAGACGGUACUCGAUGAAUAAGCCCCGGCUAACUACGUGCCAGCAGCCGCGGUAAUACGUAGGGGGCGAGCGUUAUCCGAAUUUACUGGGCGUAAAGCGCACGUAGGCGGUCUAUUAAGUUGGUGGUGAAAGUCCGAUGCUCAACAUCGGAACUGCUUCCAAUACUGGUAGACUUGAGGUAUGAAUGGGGGAAGUGGAAUUCCAGGUGUAGCGGUGAAA
rnacentral:rRNA from 1 species